UACGUAGGGUGCAAGCGUUAAUCGGAAUUACUGGGCGUAAAGCGCGCGCAGGCGGUUUUGUAAGUCUGUCGUGAAAUCCCCCGGGCUCAACCUGGGAAUUGCGAUGGAGACUGCAAGGCUAGAAUCUGGCAGAGGGGGGGUAGAAUUCCACGUGUAGCAGUGAAAUGCGUAGAGAUGUGGAGGAACACCGAUGGCGAAGGCAGCCCCCCUGGGUCAAGAUUGACGCUCAUGCACGAAAGCGUGGGGAGCAAACAGGAUUAG
rnacentral:rRNA from 1 species